rnacentral:rRNA from 1 species
GACGAACGCUGGCGGCGUGCUUAACACAUGCAAGUCGAACGGAAAGGCCCUGCUUUUGUGGGGUGCUCGAGUGGCGAACGGGUGAGUAACACGUGAGUAACCUGCCCUUGACUUUGGGAUAACUUCAGGAAACUGGGGCUAAUACCGGAUAGGAGCUCCUGCUGCAUGGUGGGGGUUGGAAAGUUUCGGCGGUUGGGGAUGGACUCGCGGCUUAUCAGCCUGUUGGUGGGGUAGUGGCUUACCAAGGCUUUGACGGGUGGCCGGCCUGAGAGGGUGACCGGCCACAUUGGGACUGAGAUACGGCCCAGACUCCUACGGGAGGCAGCAGUGGGGAAUAUUGCACAAUGGGCGGAAGCCUGAUGCAGCAACGCCGCGUGCGGGAUGACGGCCUUCGGGUUGUAAACCGCUUUCGCCUGUGACGAAGCGUGAGUGACGGUAAUGGGUAAAGAAGCACCGGCUAACUACGUG